rnacentral:rRNA from 1 species
UAGGGUGCCCCUCUAGCAUCCCAUAGCAGCCCAUCCCAUCAGCACUGGGCACACAAGCAACAUUGGGCCAGAUCAGUAGUACGGUGGGGGACCACGUGCGAACCCCUGGUGACGAUCUGU